rnacentral:lncRNA from 1 species
AUGCAAAACCACGUCGUCCAUUUUGUGGAGGACACUGCCAUAGUUUCAAUUCCUCCCCCUGAUCACCUCCCGCACCUGGGGGUUGGCCCACAAAGGUCACUUAAAUAUUUGCUGGAUUCCACAGAGUUGACAACCGUUCAGAGAGACAGCAGAAUGCAGUGGGGAGCACGCGGCACCAGGUUCUGGGGUUGGUCCUGAGCCUCACUGGUGGGGGCACCAUGGAGAAAUCAAGAAACAGGUUCUGUGUUUGUAAAAUGGGGAUUGGAAGGCUCAUUCCUAAGGUUCUUUUAAGGCUCAAAGGAGAUAACAGACCUAAAAGCUCUCCAAAGACUGUAUAAGUGGAAGGUAUUAGUAUAAAAGGCCCUCUCUAAAGAAUAUUGAUGGAAACAUCUUUAUGCACACAUGCACUUCAUUAUUGAACUGUUUAUUCAGUUAUUAGCUGCCAUUAGCUUCUGAUUCCAGACUGUUGAUCUAUCAUAUGAGCAUAAUAGAUGUGUUCACAACAAUAACAGACCUGAAUAAGACUGAUGCAUCUGGGGCUCACAUCCCGGAAAUCACUGCCUUAAAAUUCCAUCGAUCAGUGCUGGGUGUUGUAGAAUCUCAGGGUUGUCGAUGCCCUCAACCUUGAGGUGAGCGUGCUCUUUGUAAGUUCCUUCACAGGGGUCGAUUGAAAUUCUGCUUGAACAUCUCCAGUGAUGAAGGGGGUAAUUGAGGUGAGGAGGAGGAGACGUAUGAUAUUGAACAGUCUGUUUUGCCCAGAGUCAGUGAGAGGUGCUUGAUGGCCCCGGCUCAUUUAAUUUUUAUCACCCUGCCUACAAGUUGAUUUUUAUUAUCCCCAUUUUAAAGAUGAGGAAACCGAGUCUAAAGCGGUAAAUUAAAUGAAGAAAUGGGAGUCACUAAAUGAUAGAGUUGGGAUAAAAUUAAAGAUCUUACUUUGUCCAUAUGCCAUAUAUAGCAUUUCCUGAGAAACUUAUCUCCAUUGACAGAUUUUCCCCCCCAUUUCGACAGCUCUGAUUGUUAGCAAAAUACAAAGCUACUCCUUUCAGCUCAGAGCCGUCUACUCAAAGUGUGGUCCAUGGACCUGCAUCACGGCCUCUCCGGUAGCUAGUUUGAAAUGUAGAAACUCGGCCCCGCCCCAGGCUACUGGAUCAGAAUCCGCAUUCAGCAAGGUCCUCAGGGAUCCAAACGCACGUUAGAGUUUAAAGAUGACUGUCUGUAGCACACACAGCUGGUCAGAUUCCUCCUUUUCACGACGUCUCUCUCUACAGCUUUCUUGACUGCAUUUUGUCCCAAACAAAUGCCUGGGAUGCCUUUCACUCUCUACCUUUCAGACACUUCUCCAGAAUUCUGAAAACCUCUAUAGAGUUUCCUCAUCUAACUGGAGAGAGGCGAUCCCUUCUCUUACUUUCCAAACAUACAUUUUAUAACCUUUCCUGCCCUCUGCACUGUGAAAAAUGCCUGGAUAUUUGUGAUUGUGUGAAUCAUAGGUCUUACUCUACACAAGUACCUAUUAAUCAGUCAAUCAAAAGCCAGGUAGAAGAAUUUAGGCUUUAUGGGCUAGGUUUUUAAGCAUGAGAGUGACAUGUAGAAAAUGUGAAAUUAGCUGAAAUUGGGAGAUUUAUCUUGUGAUGUUCUGCAGUGUGGUUAAAGAGGGUAAGAGAAUGGUGACUCUGAAAGUCAUUACAAAUUAUAGAAAAUAGAGCACUUUGAAAGCUUUUAUUGGCGUCAUUUGAUGCAUUGACUCAUAGGUCCCAUUUGAUGUACAUUUAUUCCCUUGAUAAAUGAACGAAAUUUUGUCAAAAUUAGUCAACUCAUUUGAGAUUUAUUAUGAAAUAAACACAGACAUAAGCAAUUUAUAGAACA